UACAGAGGUCUCAAGCGUUGUUCGGAUUCAUUGGGCGUAAAGGGUGCGUAGGUGGCGCGGUAAGUCGGGUGUGAAAUUUCGGAGCUUAACUCCGAAACUGCAUUCGAUACUGCCGUGCUUGAGGACUGGAGAGGAGACUGGAAUUUACGGUGUAGCAGUGAAAUGCGUAGAGAUCGUAAGGAACACCAGUGGCGAAGGCGACUCUUUGGCCUGUAACUGACGCUGAGGCGCGAAAGCGUGGGGAGCAAACAGG
rnacentral:rRNA from 1 species